GAUGAAGAACGCAGCGAAAUUCGAUACUUGGUGUGAAUUGCAGAAUCCCGCGAAUCAUCGAGUUUUUGAACGCAAGUUGCGCCCGAAGCCAUUCGGCCGAGGGCACGUCUGCCUGGGUGUCACGCAUCGUUGCCCCCCCAAACUUCGGUUCGGGCGGGGCAGAAGUUGGCCUCCCGUGCGUGCCUGCGCGUGCGGUUAGCCCAAAAGCGAGUCCUCGACGACGAGCGCCACGAAAAUCGGUGGUUUUUUUGCCCUCGUUCCUCGUCGUGCGUGCCCCGUCGCCCGAACGCGCUCUUGCGACCCUCACGCGUCGCCUCGGUGGCGCUCCCAACGCGACCCCAGGUCAGGCGGGACUACCCGCUGAGUUUAAGCAUAUCAAUAAGCGGAGGA
rnacentral:misc_RNA from 1 species